GUGGGGAAUAUUGCGCAAUGGGGGAAACCCUGACGCAGCGACGCCGUGUGAGGGAAGAAGGCUUUCGGGUCGUAAACCUCUGUCAGAAAGGAAGAACCUCCCAAGUCCGAAUAGGGCUUGGGACUGACGGUACUUUCAAAGGAAGCACCGGCUAACUCCGUGCCAGCAGCCGCGGUAAUACGGAGGGUGCAAGCGUUAAUCGGAAUCACUGGGCGUAAAGUGCGCGUAGGCCGAUUUGUAAGUCGGACGUGAAAGCCCUCGGCUCAACCGGGGAACUGCGUUCGAUACUGCGAGGCUUGAGUCCUGGAGAGGGUGGCGGAAUUCCGGGUGUAGGAGUGAAAUCCGUAGAUAUCCGGAGGAACACCGGUGGCGAAGGCGGCCACCUGGACAGGUACUGACGCUGAGGCGCGAAAGCGUGGGGAGCAAACAGGAUUAGAAACCCCGGUAGUCC
rnacentral:rRNA from 1 species